ensembl:lncRNA
CUAUAGGUUUAGCAUUUCAAGGAGCAUUCAGAGGUUCCCAAAGCAUUUCUCUAAGCAUCUGACUCUGCAGCUAACUGUACUCAGGACAGCAGAAUUGUGGUGACCCAAACACACCUGGUUCCUUCUCAGUUUUGAUGCUUGUGGAGGCUUACGUUUUUUGAUUCAGAAUAAACUGCCAAGAGCUAAAUUGCGGACAGCUAGUACCGAGAAACUACAGAUACAGCAUGAUCUUCUCACCACUGUCUCACCAGGUGUUGUGGAGAUAGUGUAAAAUAAGGAAGAAGGGCAAAAAAUAGUGCAGAUGAUUUGCUCUUGAACUCUUGACUUUCAGCAGCUGCAUUUUAAAACUACCGUUCCAUUUUGCUGCACUGGAAGAUCUCAGCACAAUUUUACCAGAAAAAAAUUGCACUAAGAAGCUUUUGAAGACAAAAUUUAUGUUUUUCACUUCAAAAUCAUAUAUACUAGGAAACUUUCUAAAUGGAUCCUAUGAAGAAUAUGGGAUGGGAAUUCAUAUAUUUUAACAGGAGCAGGCUUAUCUGACAGUUGCAUGGAAAUCACAGAAUUGCAAGGGUUGGAGAUCAUGGGCUUUAUGAAGGAAUUGAUGUUUAAGUAAUAGAAAUUAAAGUUACUUAAGGUCUUGAUAGUAUUGCUUUUACUGUGAUGAAGCCUUCUACGCUGCUUCCCCUCUUAAAGUCAUGAGAGACAUCAUGAACUCAUGUUUUCCUGUUGAGAGUGCUCUGUUACUGAUAUUCAAACGCAUCGCAUAGACUUCAGUCUAGAGGCUGGAUUGUCACACUCAGAGAGUCGCAGUCAUCGACUCAAUAUCCUAGUGGAGAAACAGAAGGUUUCUGGAAGUUUGUCAGGACCUAUUGAAGCAAUGUGAGACUGAAGAUGACAGUUUCCUGGAUCACAGCAAUGCUAGUGAUGCAAUGUGGUGUCACCACUAUGAGCCAGAAUCAGAACAGCAGUCCACGGAGAGAUGACGUGUGAAUUUCCCCAUCAAGGAAAAAGUUUAUGAAGCAACUUCAGCAGCUAAACUGAUAUGUGCUGUCUUUUGGGAUAGGAAGGGGUAAUCUUUCUGCAUUUCCUGGAACCUGGACAGACCAUCAACUCUCACCUCUACAUCCUGAAACUGACUAAGUUGAACACUUGGACUUCCAAAGUUUGAUCAGAUAAGAAGACAACCUUUUCUUGCAACAAUAUAGUGCCAGGCCCCAUUUGAAAACUGUGGAGCAUGUUGCCAGUCUUGACUGGACUGUCCUACCACAACCAACAUAUAGUUCUUCUGACUUCCAUCUGUUCAGGUUGAUGAAAAUGGACUGUAUGGGAAAUAUUUUCCUAGCAACAAUGCUGUCAUAGCAUCUGUGAAACAGUGGGUUACCUCCAUUGGUGCAUAUUUUUACAAGCGUGGCAUGCAGGUUCUUAUUCAUCACUGAUGAAAAUGCAGAGCUAAUGGUGGUGACUGUGUUGAAAAAUAGAUUUUUUUAGCUGAGAAUUUGCUCUAUCCAAUAGUGUUACUGUGCUUUCUGUAUCUGCUAUAGUUUCCAUGGAAAUAAAUAGGAGGAAUUAGUUUCUGAGUGACCUAUGUAUAUUCUACUUCAGUUAGUUUCCAUGUGAUCUGAAUCAUGCCUCAUGCUAUACAUGAAAGCAGAAAAACAUAAAGCUGAUAUGUUAAUGCUGGAUGUGGCUCUGGGCAGCCUGAUCUAGUAGUUGGCGACCCUGCCCGUGGCAGGGGGCUUGAAACUAGAUGACCUUUGAGGUCCUUUUCAACCCAGCCAUUCCAUGAUUCUAUGCUGUAAUGUGGAAAUUAAAAUGGUAAGUUGGAAUAUGGGAAAAUAGUUGAAGUAACUGUUUUUCCAAACAGAUGGUGGAGUGUUGCACAUCACUGAGACAGAACCAAUUUUGAUUUUUCUUUGGAAAGAAGUACAAGCUCACAUUAGGAAAGCAGCAUUACUAUAUAUUGGAAAACCACAGUUGAUAAAAAAAAAACCCUAACCAAAUUUAGCAGAUAAAAGGAUUACUGUACUAUAUAUCCUAACAAAGGUUAAUUAAGCUACUGAAAAUUCUACUCUUUGGCACUUCCAUUUUUGCUUAAACUUGACUGAUCUUAAAGCCAUUGUCCACAAAAAUAUUUUAUGAGGCACAUAUGAGAUUUCAAAAUAUAGGCUUUAUUAUGUUAGUAAGUGACUAUGAUAAUUUGCCUAAUAGUCUAGUUGCAUCACUGGCUGCUGCCAUUAUAAAAUCUUCAGUGAUGCUUAAAAAAAGCCUCGUGGUUUUGUAAGCAGUUUAUGACAGGCUGUUUGGAAAUCAUAAUAUUACUGAUGUCAUAAGCAACAGCUGUUUCCACAUUCAAGAGAAGUUAGAAUGACUCAGUAAAGUCAGGUGGGGAAACAGACGUCUAGUGAUUCUUACUAACAUGAAAUAUCAGCUUAGAGAUUAUUUCAGAACAUCACAUUGGAGUCCAGAUGGUUUGUGCAUCUUAAGAAAAAUAUAAGCAAAGAUAAAAAAAGAAGCUGAUUGAAAUUGUGUAGGUGUUCAGAAGUAGACAAAUGCAAAAAAGGAUUUCAUGUAAGUUUCACUCUUCUUUCAAGAAUGUCCUCUGGUAGUGCUUAUAUGAUCCUUUUAUUUCCUUUCCAAAACAAAAGAAACAAACAAACAAAACCAAAAAACAUGAAUUUCCUUUUACUUGCCCAAACAACUCUCCAAAAUCAAAGUUCAGUCCUCUAUGGAAAUACAUACCUCUGCUUUCUUACUGUUCAUGUGUAAGGGCAGUUUAUAUCCAUUAUAUAAAACAGUUAUCAAGAGCCUUAGAAAGAGCAUUUACAGUAUAGAAAAAAGUUUUUAGAGUUGUGUUUACAAGUUAUGCUUGCUAAAAUAGGGACAGGUGAAUUCUAGAGAACUGUUCAGACACUCUGGAUCUCACAGCUUCCUUAACCCUGGAAUUUUAAGGAUUUCAAAGUCUGUCCAUUUGAAUGCAGUCCUUUAUUGGCCUUGCUUCAGCGGCAGUCAGACGGAUUUGAUCUGCCCUGUGCUGAUUCUUCCUCCUUGCCAUCUUACAAUAUGCUGUUUUGUUCCCUGGGAAAAGCAAAGCAAUUGCUAACAGAUGAUUUGGCUUCAGGCUGCUUUUACCAUCUGUGGAAGAAGGGCAUAAUUUCAAAUGUUAAACAGCCUGACCAUAGCUACUAGUACUGUUGCACCUUGGCUACUGAAAACCUAGAGAAAUGUCAAAUUUCUUUCUUUUCUGCUACAUAGAUAUUUCUGGGUGAGAGCAGGCAGAUGUUUAGAGUAAGCUCAUUAGGGAAUAACCUGACUUCACUCAUAAGCUUCUGACAAGUUUGGGCCACUGAUGGUAAUUUCUGUAGCUGACCAGCAUCUGAGAUGCCUGACAGUGUGGUGAAGUAUGAUCUUUCAGGGAAAAAAUAUAAUCAUGUAUCACAAUUAACUAGCAAAAUCCAGGCUUUGAAUAUUGAAUACCUACUAGAGAUUGAUAAGUUCUAUAAAACCAUAUUCAAAACUUGAACAACACUUUCAUCAGUAAGAUAGUAUUUCAUGACAAAUCACACUGAAAAACUUCCAUUGUUUCCAAAAUGUAAAAAAAUAGAAUAAAACUGAAAUGAUAUCAUCAAGACAUGACAAAAAAAAAAUUCUAGAAGUUAAGAGGGCAACCCUGGCAAAUAAAUUUUUUAAUACAAAUUAGUUUGUCAAAAUGGUGAAUGUUAACAAUUAAGUACUACGUAAAGGUGAGAACCAUUAAAAUUACAUGUCCACAGUACAUAAAACUAGAACAAAGAAAAUUAUCCCCGUCUCUUUUGCUGCUCUUUGAAAAAGUUGAUAAAUAAAAGUGAUGCAACAUCAGUGAUUUAGCUGAUUUCAAUGUCUUUUCUCUGAACUAUAAAGAUGAAGUGUUAAAGAACAAGGCCCUGAAACCUGACUUAGAAAUGCAGGAGAAAAGAAAAAGAAUGGGCUACUAUAUAAAGUAAAAGCAGCAGAAUUCCUUGCUGGUUGUUACUUACUUAGGUUAGUUAUUUGUGUGUGAUUUAUAGAGGUGGAUAGCAACUCAGUGUUUAUUUGGUAAUGCAGAACUGCUUUUUAAGUGUAAGUCAUGGCAUAUUGUGAGAAGUGCCACAUUUAAUAUUUGUGACUGAAAUUCUCCACACAUCUGCUUAAAUUCUUCUGUUUUGUGAAAUAAAUUGAGUUAAGGAAUUGUAUGAUGAUUUUAGACUGCACUGUGCUUAAUUUUUUGUAGAGAUCCAUUCAGUGUUCUUUAAGAAAUCCAGUGAAACUACAGAGCGUUAUUCUUAGAACAAG